rnacentral:ribozyme from 1 species
UCACAAGUUCAAGGCCAUAGCAGAAGUCCUCAAGGCUUGGCCCUGUCAGAUUCCAAUGAAUCUGUGAAUUCUGCU